AACUUUCAACAACGGAUCUCUUGGUUCUGGCAUCGAUGAAGAACGCAGCGAAAUGCGAUAAGUAGUGUGAAUUGCAGAAUUCAGUGAAUCAUCGAAUCUUUGAACGCACAUUGCGCCCUAUGGUAUUCCGUAGGGCAUGCCUGUUCGAGCGUCAUUUCACCACUCAAGCCUAGCUUGGUAUUGGGCGUCGCGAUUUCCGCGCGCCUUAAAGUCUCCGGCUGAGCAGUUCGUCUCUAAGCGUUGUGAUUUUCAAAUCGCUGAAGAGUUCGGGCGGCGACGGCCGUUAAAUCUUUAUUCAAGGUUGACCUCGGAUCAGGUAGGGAUACCCGCUGAACUUAAGCAUAUCAAUAAGCGGAGGAAAAGAAACCAACAGGGAUUGCCCUAGUAACGGCGAGUGAAGCGGCAACAGCUCAAAUUUGAAAUCUGGCGCAAGCCCGAGUUGUAAUUUGUAGAGGAUGCUUCUGGGUAGCGACCGAUCUAAGUUCCUUGGAACAGGACGUCAUAGAGGGUGAGAAUCCCGUAUGUGACCGGCCCGCACCCUUUACGUAGCUCCUUCGACGAGUCGAGUUGUUUGGGAAUGCAGCUCUAAAUGGGAGGUAAAUUUCUUCUAAAGCUAAAUACCGGCCAGAGACCGAUAGCGCACAAGUAGAGUGAUCGAAAGAUGAAAAGCACUUUGGAAAGAGAGUUAAAAAGUACGUGAAAUUGUUGAAAGGGAA
rnacentral:misc_RNA from 1 species